rnacentral:lncRNA from 1 species
CCUCCACCUAUUAUCAACCUGCUGUUAGCCCAGCAAAAUGGUAUCUCUCUCCUUCCCUCCCUCCCUCCCUUCCCACCUUGGUGACCUCAUUUAAGUGGUUUUGAUAAUUGGUGGUACAACUUUCCCUCUUUGAUACCUACAAAUUCUUUAUAACGACUCUUAGUUUGCAAUCCAUUAUGGAACAUAAAUGAACAUACUAGAUGUGAAUCUUUUGUUAUGAUGAAUGAUAAAUGUUUGACUUAAAGCAUAGACUAUCGCAUAUACAAUACAAUAUGUGUACCAUAAAGGAUAAAUUAACCUUUUCUCUACCGGUGAACUGAGAGCUUACAGUGGCUAAUUUGAUAAGAAGCAUAGUACUUGUAUCAUUCAGAAAAUGACCCUUUUGUACUUCAUUUUCAGGGAUAGUCCUAUUGUGCUUUGUUUUUAUAUGAUCUAAAACUACAGAGUUCUUGUGCAGUUCAGAUGUUCUGUUUUGUACGAAUUUUACUAUAUCUGAACUUCUGAAAUUAGUAUAAGUCUAACAGCCUUGCAACCAAACCAAAACUAAAACUGCAGGGAUCUUGUGACAGCCUUGCAACCAAAACUAGAACUACAGGGAUCUUGUGUAGUUGAAAGCUAGCUGUCGUUUGUUGGAAUAUCAAUUAUCUUGUUUGUGCACGAUUAACCUGCUUAUCAUGAAAAGGUAGAAUAUUUUAGGACAGACCAUCAAGUUGGUUGGGAUUUGUUUAGAUCUUUAUGAGAAGCAGCUCUUCUCAGUGGGACUUUUCUUUUUUAUCCAGCCUAAACAUAUUCAGCCUUUCACCUAAAAUGUUAUUACUUUCUCAUGUCCUACUUUUUGUUACACGAUGUUCAAGAAAGAAUUAUGGAUCAUUUUGUCAUGAAGCAUGAUCAGUGCCACCUCUUUCUUCUGUGUAGUGCUAGGCUAGAUUGGUAUUCUGUUUACUGCUCCAGUUGGAUUAUAUCUCAAACUUCUCUUGUUCCUAUGCUGAGAUUCUCCUAGCCAGUGGCAAGGGUACAUACUGCCUCAUCUUCUUUUUUCCUUUACAUUUUUCUUCGAUUGGAAGGAGUGGAUUACUGCCACCAAGUUCUUGGAUAAAAUGAAGAAAGAUAUGUAUGACGUCAUGUCAGUUAUUUUGUUUUACAACAAAAUGGAUAGUUCAUGUAUUCCCUACCGAGCAAGAUUUAUGUUGAGGUGUGGCAUCUAUUUUGCAUUUCUUGAUUAUGGAUUUUUGAUAAUGCGAAGUUUUUAUUCGGAAUGGACGAUGAGUGCUUACUUCUAUUGUUCCCCAAAACACCAUUAAUGAUUUAUCCAGUCCUACACAUUGCAUGCUUGCCACAAGCUUAGAAAAUCUCCAUCUUACUUCGCUAAAUGUUCUUUCUUACCGAACUAGCUUCAGGACGAAUGGCAGGUUUAUUAACCAUUUGAUCAUUUUUGUGCAUUGCAUGUUUGCUGCUAAGUCUCAUGAAGUAGUGUUUUUUUUGCGUGAUCAUCCUGUGGAGCCAUGAUAUUUGAACCAAUGAAUUCAGAGGACAUUUAGUAUGUUUAUGGACCACAUCAUGUUCUGUUGGUACAAGUGAGAUCCUUUUUCCAGUGAUCACUUUAAAGGUACAU